rnacentral:pre_miRNA from 1 species
GCUCUGUUUUUCCCCUGGGCCAGAUCCUGGAUCAGUGGUUUGAGUCGGAGCCCCUGAAGGCAACUCUGGCUACUGAUGCAGUGAUUGGAGCCAUGGCCA